UUUGCACCAAAAGGCUGUUUUGCUUUUUUUGUCAAAAUUAAGUGCCAAUUAAAAUAUCCAAAUUUUAAUGGUAAAGGUCUUCCAAAACAGAGCCAAUCAUACUAAUCAAACAAAGUCUACUCGUUAAGCAUUCAUUAAAUUUUCGAUUACACUACAACUUUAUUACAAUGAAAAUCACCCAGCGAAGAAAAUCGCCAACUCCCUCUACCCUAAACCCAUAAAAAAAAAAAACUGAAAACAAGAUGUAUCAUCAAUGCAAAUAAAAAUAAAUAUCUACUCGAGAUAUUUAUGGGAAAAUUAUUCAAGGCCCAUUUUGAAAUUUUCAAGGCUAGAACUCCUUUGAAGAUACUGGGAUUCAUUUAUCCCAUCAUAUGCAGUAUUAGACUCUUCGGAUAGUGAGUUUAGGGUACGGUAGUGAUUGAUUAUAACUUUCGUUAUGUACCGGAUGAUUUGAAUGACUUAUGUUCGGAGGGUGAAAAAAUUUACUUUGUUAAUAGAGACUUUUCCUUAGGGCGUAUUUGAGACAAUAGUGAUUCAGAAGAACUUUCGUUACGUACUGGAUGCUUUGAUUGACUAUGCUCGGAGGGUGAAAAAAUGUGCUUUGGUAAUAGAGACUUUACCAUGGGGCGUAUUUGAGACAGUAGUGAUUCAGAAGAGUUUUUGUUAUGUACUGGAAUUUGCUUUGUUAAUGCAGACUUUUCCUUGGGUCGUAUUUGAGACAGUAGUGAUUGAUUUGAUUGACUAUGCUCGGAGGGUGAAAAACUUUGCUUUGCUGACUUUUCCUUAGGGCGUAUUUGAGACAGUAGUGAUUGGCAAGAACUUCUAAUUAGUGCCCAAGAAUUUGGUUGACUACGUUCGGAAUGUAGUCUGGCUCCAUCUGCUGAAUUCUCCAUCAAUUUCAGUUGCGCUUUUCUAGACAAUGGAGUCUGUGAAUUUAAUCUAACAAAAGAGUGCAAACAGUUUAAAAAAAAAUUCUGGCAAAAGACUAAGAAUGAUAUAUUACUGAAAAUUUAUUCCAUAAAUGAAAGUUGAUAAUAAAAUAACAUACUCAUACCAUAAAUUAAAGUUACAAUCCUCAUAAUUAAUAAGCUAAUCCAGAAGAUAAGAAGUAUACUUCAUAACUAACUUGAGAGAAUACCUUGCUGCACCAAAACUUCAAAAAACUCUCAACUCCUCAGCUGUUGGGAUUCAUACUUCAUGCUGCUGCUAUUACUUUAUACAAAUGCUGCAAUUCUUUCUUUCUACCAUCAAGUUUAUUAAACCACAUACUUAAACAAGCAAAAUAUAUAUACUCCACUCACAUAUUAAGAUUUCUAUUUUUAAUUCUAAUUGAUUGGGGCCGCUGGCGUGUCGACAUUGACUUUGUCAACCCGUGUGGACGGGUUUCGAUACAAAUGGGAAGUUUCUAUUGUAUGUUUUUGUUUUUUCCCUCUCCCUGGCUCAUGUAGAAGUAGACUUACUAUACUGAUCUAUAGUAAGUCUUUUCUUCACAUUAGUAAAUGGUAGUCGGUAGAUAAUAGUCCAACUCUACACGCGGCUAUCUAUUUGAAUUAUACAUGCAUGUACUAAAAAAAUGAUAUUUUCACAAUUAAACAUUAUUAAGAGUGUUAGUUACACAAAAUUUUUAAAUUUUAUGAAACUGUUAAUAUUAUAUAUCUAAGCUUCUAUUGUAAGUUUUUUCCCUCUCCCUCGCAUUAAUAAAUGGUAGUCGUUGUCAGCUCAUGUAGAAGUAGACUGGUUUGGAUACAAGUGGGAAGUUUAUAUACUCUUUGUUAAGUUUUCUUUACAUUAGUAAAUGGUAAUUAAUGGAAUUCUCAAGUUUAGGAAACCCUUGAACAGGGAGCUGAAUGAUAGGUCCCCUCUCAAGUGUAAAGUACUGCUAUGAUAAUUGUUGUUCUCUUCGGGUGAGAAACGUACCACAAUUUGAAUGCAAAUAUAUUUUUUCUACUUAUUACAAAAGCAUGGGCUGCUUAUAUAAGCAAAGCCGUUUACACUCCAACCGAAAUAAAAGGAAAGAUAACAACGUAACUAAACACACAAACAGAGCAUGAUAACAAACUGAAAUAAAAUGACGUAAAAUGCGCAACUACGAAUGUGUUGCGUAAAACUUGCAACCACUGAUGAUCAUAGGCCACGACCCAGUCCAUUAUCCAUUCCUGCAUGGUUUCCGUCUCCAUCUAUGUCUCAUGCAACGUGCAACUGCAUGUCCUAGCUCAUCCCAAAUACUUGGGAUUUGCCUUAUGGCCUCUCUCAGAUCUUCAUGGCCUAUCACUGAACCUUUUUUUUUACUUUUUUUUUGAAUAAUGUGGAGUUUCUCGACCGCAAUCGAACUAAUAUCACCAGCCCAGACCAGACUUUUCAUACAGAAUUGCGUUUGCGUUUCCGUUUUCCGUGACCUCAUGACCCUUUAGACCCUUUAGUAAAGGGCUUGACACUUGUACGUAGCUAGUGGGAUUCGAUCUCAGGACGUCCGAAUUUACAGUUGAUGUUUCAUUUAAACCACUACGACAAAUGUUAGGGUUGGGAGUGGAACCUUUCGUGCAUGAUAUAUGGAAUGAAUGUGAGGAGAGAUUUGAAUUUGAGAAAAUGAAGGGGUUAUCAGUUUGAUUUAUUAUAUAAAUACUAAAAGAGCUGGUGCCAUCUUUGAUCAUGAUAUGUUUCUUUGAUUUAUUAUUAUGUUCCUCUUUUGUAUACAGUUCCACGAAAAAUUUAUUUGUAUCGUUAAACGUGAUGUAUUUUGAAGAUUGUAUGAAAAUUAGGAUUUUUGUUUGUUUGUUUGUUUGGAGUGUAGAUUCAUUAUUAUAACCUUGUAAUGGAUAAUUUUAUAUUCAUACAUAUAAAUACCUAACUUAUUUUUUUCAUAAAUUUUAGAGGAAUAUAUCAGAAGUAAAAAUAUAUCAAAUAUCUAUGUACUUCAAAAAAUUCAAAAAAUCUCCAACAGCACCUCCCUCCCCCGGUCCAAGCUUUUAGGAUCCAGAAGUAACUUUCAAUUAAAAAUGAGAACCUGUGUGGACAUUGACUUUAUCAACCCAUCGUCCUGGACAAUUUUUAAUAUGAGUAGUUGUAAUUCUGUAAUUAAGCACACCUAUAGGGGGUGAAUAAGUGUAAAUAUUCAAAAGUGAUCUACAGUGGUUUAUUUUUAAAGUUUACUAUAGCAGGCUAUAAUCGGAUGGUCUAAUCCUGUCUGUAUUAGCUAUGUUCUUCGUCUGUUAUAAACGGAUAACUAAUACAUGUCCGUAUUAGUAUAAAUUUUUUCCGACUUAAACCAAAAUCUGCAAAAUAUUUAAGUUUAAAACAGAAACAAAAGAACAGUAUAUCACAUCAAGAUUUUUAUGUGAUUCAGCCACUAUCCUCUACUUUAGUAGCCUAAUCCACGUUCAAUACCAACAAGUAUUGGAGAGACUUUUUUUUUUUUAUUAAAACUUAAUAUUUAAAAGAUUACAGAAAACUCCCUGUACAACGAAGAUCGAUUCUGAUUUGGACACCUCUGCCCCUUUUGCACCUCUGCAACUUCUCUCACCUCUGAGACCUUGAUGCUUCCGUUAUACAGACUGAAUAUUAAAUAAUCACCCAAUCCAACCUAGACUUAUACUCGGUUUAUAAAAGAUGAAUAAAAUAUUACAAAGAAUUUCCAGUUACAAACGAUUCAGAAGAUUUAAAAUAACAACUGGAAUCAGACUUUAGAAGAACUCUCAAGAUGUAUUCAAUAAUGAUUUUCAGCUUCAAGUCUUUUGUAUCUCCUUGUAGCCGAGCAACGGUAUAUAUAAAGGAGAGUAGAUAUAACGGCUAUAAUAAAGUAACGUUCCAAUCCAUCCAAGCAACGACUAAUUCUUUUUUAUUGAAAUAGGAGAUAAACAUUAGCAAUAACAACACAGAGAUAUAUAAGAGAUAAAUUGCUAUGAAGGAGUCAAAUAAUAUCCAAAGACUAGCUAAAAGAAUCCCACUAGCUGUUAGGUUGUAUCCUUCAAAGAAACAACUGCUUUUGAAUAAGAAUCCUUGAUUAUCCCAAUUCCUAAAAAAUCUCCCAACCAAAUACGCCUUUUAUAACCUCUAGAUAUCAAUCUCCUAAUUAUACUCCAAUACAUAUUUUAAUUAGUCUUCAAAGCAAAUCAAAAAUAAACAUAUAUAUAUUCUAGUUAUAAAAACUGAAAGCAUAUGACAAAAAUAAAUCAAUUUGUUUUACUCACUCCAUCCUGCAGUAACUUUUAUGCCAUACAAAGUGAUUAUGAAAUCAAUCCAUGCAAUAAUCCAUGCAAACUAUUAUAUAAUUAAUAGGUAGCCCAAAAAAAUCAAAUAAGACCAUUACACAAUCUCAAAUAUAUUGUCAUUAUUAAAAUCACAAAAGAUAUAAACCAACAUUCUCCCCAUUUUUGAUGAUGACAAUAUAUUAUCUUUUGAAUUUAUAUACUCCCCCUAUCUAUAAGGCUCCCCCUAAAUUUAUGCAUAUUAAGGAGCAAAAAAUAAUGACUUGAUCCAAAUAACCAUCAUUACAUAUAGUAUCUCACUACCAACAUGAAUACCAAUUCAAAUACCAAAUAUCUCUCCCCCUUUGUCAUUAUCAAAAAGAAAUCAUUAAGCACAAGUUGAUUAAAAUAUAAUCAUCAUUACCCAAAUAUCUCUCCCCUUUGUCAUCAACAAAAAUUAAUUCAUAUCAAUUUAGCUAAAUAGUUAUCUCGCCCCAUUUGUCAAUAUUAAAAGAAUAAGUUCAAAGAUAAAGAAUAUCAUUGGAGAAAGUUUAUAACAAAAUCACAUAUAGCAAGUAAACAAUACGAUCAUACCUUUGUGAUUUGUUACCUAUAUAUCGACAUUGUUGUUACCAAUAGUAAGCUUGCUAGAUGUGCUCUGUAGUUUUCAAUUUUGGAUUUUUCGUUUAGGCAUGACUCUAAGUAUCUUUCUAUUUAUAUCCCUUUGAUCAAUUUUUUGGCCGAGCAUACUUAGAGAGUUCAUAAGAGUGAAGAAUCUAGCUUGAGCUUCUUUGAUGGAUUCAUUCUUCUCUAACAUGAAAAGCUCAUAUUCUUGCACUAGCAUACUUAAUUUGACUUCUUUUACCUUAGUAGUUCCCUCAUGGCUCAUGAUGAUUGUAUCCCAUCUUUCUUUAGCAGUGGUGCAUGCAGAAACUUUGUCUAUUUCAGCUUGAAUCAUCUCACUUAGUAGCGUGUUCAUGGCUCUUGAGUUGUAAGAAAAUAUGUAGCUUUCAUUUUCAUCCUUGUCCAUGAGAGUCUUGAGUCUACCAUCAUCAUGUCUAGGAAUAACAGGUCCAUUUUCAACUACCCACCAUUCCCAUGGGUCUCUUUAAGAAAAAUCUUCAUUCUGAACUUCCAAAAGUUGAAGUUUUCGCUUCCUAUCAACAGAGGUGGUCGACUUGUGGAUUGACCUUCUUGAAAAUAAAGGUGUGCCAUAGGAUCUUUCCCUACGACCUGCAAAGAUCAAUAUUAGUAGAGCCUUGCUCUGAUACCAAAUGUAAUUAUGUAAUUAAGCACACCUAGAGGGGGUGAAUAGGUGUAAAUACUCAAAAGUGAUCUACAGUGGUCUAUUUUUAAAGUUUACUAUAACAGGCUAUAAUCGGACGGUCUAACCUUGUCUGUAUUAGUUAUGUUAUUCGUCUGUUAUAAACGGACAACUAAUACAUGUCCGUAUUAGUAUAAAAAUUUUUCGACUUAAACCAAAAUCUGCAAAAUAUUUAAGCUUAAAAUAGAAAUAAAAGAACAGUAAAUCACACCCAGAUUUUUAUGUGGUUCAGCCCCUAUCUUCUACUCUAGUGGCCUAAUCCACGUCCAAUACCAACUAGUAUUGGAGACACUUUUUUAUUAAAACUUAAUAUUCAAAAGAUUACAGAAAACUCCUUGUACAACGAAGAUCGAUUCUGACUUGGACGCCUCUGCCCCCUUUGCAUCUUUGCAACUUCUCUCACCUCGGUUUAUAAAAGAUAAAUAAAAGAUUACAAAGAAUUUCCAGUUACAAACGAUUCAGAAGAUUAUAAAUAACAACUGGAAUCAGACUUUAGAAGAACUCUUAGGAUGUAUUCAAUAAUGAUUUUCAGCUUCAAGUCUCUUGUAUCUCCUUGUAGCCGAGCAACAAUAUAUAUAAAGGAAAGUAGAUGUAAUGGCUAUAAUAAAGUAACGUUCCAAUCCAUCUAAGCAACGACUAAUUCUUUUUAAUUGAAAUAGGAGAUAAACAUUCACUAUAAGAAAUAGGACUAUUUACGACGGAAGUAAGGUCGACUGAAUGGAUUCGCUCGGGAUUAACGUAUUGCCGACGGAAUAUUCAGUCUUUCAAAACUCCCUCGAGAAUAGUACAACUUUGACUGAAUUCAGUCGAUACUAUACCAUGUUUGUGGCGCAAAAAUUUCUCUCCAGCGCCAAUAACAACCUCGAAGGAAGAACUAUUAAUAUCGACUGAUUGUUUGUCGAGGAUACUUUAUCAUCGACUGAAUGAAUCCCGACUGAGUUUCGUCGAAAAUAGUCCUUAAAACCCACAUACUAACAAACGCGAGCCUCACUUCAGCUUCUCCUGAUUUCUUUUUCAUCUUUUCUCUCUCUGUUCUGCUGUUGCGUUCUCUGUCCCUCCUCCCCUCACUCUCCUCGCCAGCUGUCGUCCCUCACCUAGUCGGCCGCCACACCUCUCCUCUUCAGCAGCCCCAUCUCCAGCCAAGCCCUCGCCGGCAGCCUCACCUCCGGCUCCCUCUGGUGCUCUCUCUCUCUCUAGUCCCUCUCUGCUCCUCCUUCUCUCUCAAUUUAAGGUUAGUUUUUUCAAUUAAUUUUAAAUUUAGAACCCUUAAUUUUCAGAUAUGUAUAUGAUUAUGCAUAAAUUUGGGUAUAAGUACUUUGAACCCUAAAUUUUCUGUUUAAAUAUUGUUGAAAGUGUUGAAAUAUUGUUGAUAGUGUUGAAAUAUUCUAUUGAAAUGUUGUUAAACCCUAAAUUUCCUUUGCAGUGUUGUUGAAAUUGGGAUUUUCUAUGAUAGUUUGCUAAAUUUGGUUUGCUAUAUGAAACUAAUUUUGAGACUGAGAUGUUGCUUGGUGACUGAUAUUGGUUUACUGUAUUGGUGUUUAAUUUAUACCCAGCCAGUUAUAAUGUCUAUAUUGAGGAGUUAUAAUGCAGUGUGAUAAACUUAAUUUGCAGUGUUCUGAUUUCUGCCUUUUCCAGCAUUGUGAAUUUUAAUUUGUGUUCAAUUGAAGACUUCUUUUAUUUUGGUGUUAAGUAUUAAGUCCGACGGAAUUUCUGACUGAAUUUCUGUGGAAUUUAUAGAUGGUAAUAAAUAAAUAUUUAAUUAACUAUAUAAAAGACAAUAUAUUAUAAUAUAAUAAAUAAAUAUUUAUAUAAAUUAAUACAAAAAAAAUACUAGGAGCUUUAAAUAACUUUAAUAAAUUAUAUAAUAUAAUAUAAUAUAAUAAACUUUAAAAUAAAAUAAAUUUACUUUAUUAUUUAAUAUAAUAUAAUUAAAAAUAAAAUAAAAUAAAUUUAAUUUAAUACAAUAAAAUAAAUUUACUUUAUUAUUUAAUAUAAUAUUAUAAAAAAUAAAAUAAAAUAAAAAUCGACGGACUUAAUUUCGACGUGCUUAUAUAUGAUCGAAUUUCCGACCGAAGAUUCCGUCGCAAAUAAGGUUGUCCUCGACGGAAUACCCUUAUUAUCGACAGAAUAUUCCGUCGAAAAUAUCCUUUUUUGUUGUAGUGAUUAGCAAUAACAACACAGAGAUAUAUAAGAGAUAAAUUGCUAUGAAGGAUUCAAAUAAUAUCCAAAGACUAGCUAAAAGAAUCCCACUAGCUGUUAGCUUGUAUCCUUCAAAGAAACAACCGCUUUUGAAUAAGAAUCCUUGAUUAUCCCAAUUCCUAAAAAAUAUCCCAGCCAAAUACGCCUUUUAUAACCUUUAGAUAUCAAUCUCCUAAUUAUACUCCAAUACAUAUUUUAAUUAGUCUUCAAAGUAAAUCAGAAUUAGAUAUAAACAUAUAUAUAUAUUCUAGUUAUAAAAACUGAAAGCAUGUGACAAAAAUAAACCAAUUUGUUUUACUCACUCCAUGCUAAAGUAACUUUUAUGCCAUACAAAGUGAUUAUGAAUCAACCCAUGCAAUAAUCCAUGCAAACUAUUAUAUAAUUAAUAUAUAACCCAAAAAAAUCAAAUAAGACCAUUGCACAAACCCAAAUAUAUUGUCAUUAUUAAAAUCACAAAAGAUAUAAACCAACUUUGUUAGAAAAAUAAAGGGGAUACCUGAAACUUGCAUCAGCUCACGUGGUACUUAGCUGGCGAUGCUUCGUUACUGGUAGUUUCAGAUAAGGUAAGAUUUGUUCAAGUUCAAUCUGGCAUGACUGCAUCACAAAAUGGAACCCCGUUAAUUUUUACGAAACUGUUAAUAUUAUAUAUCUAACAUUUUUUAAUUUUUUUUUUACCCAUGAACACCUCUAAACACCAAAGGACGCUGAUAGACACGUAAUUCAUACAUUUAGAUAUCCCUAAUUUUGUCCUUUUAAUUAUAUUAGUUUAUUAACUUAAUAUGUUUAAUUUUAUUUUGUAGGAUUUAAUAUAUUUUGUGAUAAAGUCAAAAUCUUGGUGAUCAAGUGAUAUUUAAUGCUCUUAUUCAUGUAAGGAAUAUCCAAGAAGAAUUCGACAAGGAGAAGGAAAGAGGUUGAGCAAUCUUAAUGUGCAAGUCAAAUCCAACAAGAGAAAUGAAAGUCAAUCUAGAAGAUCUCUUUAUCUAGAAGAUCUUUUUGAGAAGUUGAUUGAUACUAGGAAAUUGAAACCUACAUGGAAAUGGAACAAAAGUGUCCAAGUUCAAUUAAUCUAAAUUAGGGUUCAAAGUUAUUUUCUCUAUAAAUAGGUCUCUUGUUUAGAGAGAAAGAUAUGAGGUAUUGUAUUACUUUGGGUUAGGAGUAGGAGUAAAUUUAAUUACGUUUCAUUGUACGCUUGUUGGAGGAUCGUGAAUAAAGAGAGUUUUCUUAUUUAUUUUCAAUCUUCUACUUCUUCUUUAUUUUAGUUAAUUUAUUUAUUUUCAUGUCUAGUUAAUUUCUUUAAUCUAGGAUGAAGAUGAAAUUAAAUAAUUAUUCGUAAUAAUAUUUUUUAUCUCUUCUAUUAUUUAUGCUUUUAUGUUUAAUUGAUUUCGCCUUCAUGUUUCGUUAUUGAAAUACCUUCGUUUUAUAGUUGUUAUGUGAUUUUAAAUUAAUUAAGAGGUUUUGAUAGAUUAUUGUUAAGAUAUGAGUUUUUCAUAAUCCAUGCUUGCUCAAAGAAGUGUUGAUGGGUUAUAGUUAAUCCUUAAAUUUUUAUAGUCUAUGCUUGCCCACAUUAAUUGCAACUUACUAAAUUAAAGGGAAGGGAGAUCAAAAUCAUAAUUUGAGUUAUAAAAACAGAAGAGAUUGAAUUAUAUGUUAUGUUUAUUAUUUAGUGAAUUCAGAUCCCUAGAUUGUUUUCUCAUUAAUUAUUUUCAUAUUCUAGUUAAUUAAUUCUCAAUCUUUAUUUCUAAUUCGCCUAAAAUAAAUAUUAAGGAAACAUUAAAAUUAAUCUAGUCUCUGUGGGUUCGACCUAUACUUGCCAGUUCUUCAAUUCACACUGUGCACUUGCAGUACAAAUUUUAUCACAUUAAGUUUUUGGCGCCGUUGCCGGGGACUAGAAUUAAUUUUUUUUAUUCCUUAAUUUGUAUUUAUUCGAAUUAGUUUUAACUUUAAUUUUAUUUUAUUUUUAAUUUUUUUUUAUUUUUCAGGAUUAUUGAAGUGGAUCGAAGGAGCGAAAAGAUAAAGAUUUUGUUGCUGGAGGAUUGAGGUACGUCAAAAUUUUCCCUUCUUUCGUAAUUCACAUAGUUUUAGGACACUUUAUAUGUUUAUAUAUAUUUUUUUGCAUUUUCAUCUUUAAUCUAACAUUAAGGGCACAACCUGUAACAAGAUAAGGUGAGAAUUUCAUCACCCUUCCUUGGCCCACAAAUAACUCAAUUUAUAUUUUGCAUAACCAUGACCUAAUAAAAUCAAGUAGACGUUGGCCCCUAGGACUCUCGAGCUCAAUUAGGACAAGAAACUCCAAGAGGAGGCUGAAUUUUAAAUUAAUCAAACUAUUGGUGUCUAGGCAAGUGGUUCAAAAGGUAAAUGCCUAAAGAUUGUGUGGUUAUUUAAUUAGUCACCGUAUCUACGGAGAGACUCCCACCUUUCUUACACUUACCUGGCUAGUGGUGUGAUUAAUUUCGAAUUUGGUGGACUUUGCGGUGUAACUUGGAGCAGUUAGGAGCUGUCUAGAUUUUAUUUAGGUUAACCGUAGAAUUAGGAUUUUUUUUUUGUGACUUUCGUGGUUAGUUGUUUAUUUGUUUUGGGAUUUGUGGAAAAAUGGAUUCCUAUUAUAGUUGGAAUAAUAAUUUUACUUGGAAUCAAGAACCCUAUGAAAAUUUUAAUGCACACCAAGUAAAUCAAUUUUUUCCAACUUAUGAAAAUCCUUAUCUAAAUCCUUAUCCAUAUCCAUAUCUAUAUCCAUAUCUAUAUUCGGAUCCAGAACCUCAAUAUCCAAAAGAAUUAUCAAAUGAAGUAGACGAAAGACUUAGUGCCCUGGAGAAAACUACGAAAGUUUUAAUGGAAGAACAAUUUAGUAUUAUAUCUCGUCUAGAAAUUCAAAUGAGUCAAUUAGCCACCAUAAUAAAUGAACAAGAGGUGGAUGAAUUUUCUAGUAACUCUGAGGUUAAUUUUGAAAAUCUUGAUGGUUGUGGAAAUGUUGAGGAAAGUGAAAAUUUUAUAUUCAAUUUUACACAAUUUUAGUCAAGCGUAUUUGAGGAGUCUACAAAUUAUGAGUCUAUGCCUAAAAUUGAUCAUGUUGCAUUUGAUGACUUUGUUGAAAAAAGUCUAUAAACCUAAAGUUCCAUACCCCGAAAGACUUAUUCCAAAAAAAUUACUCACUGAUUUUUUGGACAUGCCCAUUCAAGUAAACAUGAUCCACGAGUUGUCAUUGACCCAAGAGAUAAUUGAAAAUAGACUCUUGAUUAAAAAAGAUCUAAGUGGUUUUUUCUUGAAUCACCUUGACCAAAAUUGGAAUGAAUCCGAAUAUUUAGAUAAGGUCAAUGAGCCGUUGAGAUCCACUACAAAUAAGUCAACUAAACUAGAACAUGUAUUUGAAUCAAUUCUUUCAUCAUUUGAACAUGUUAAUGAAAAUUUUCUUGAGGUAAACUUGAAGCAUAAUUGUGAUGAAAAUUCUGACUAUUUUCAAUUUUCUAGACCUCCUGAAAAUAAUGAAAAGUUCACACUCACUUAUCCAUGUGUAACAUUCAUUUUUAGUCAUAUAUUUUUUAGGAUUUAUAAAAUUCGUAGAUAUGUACAUUUGUUUUCUUUCUCACCACAUCUUCUUGCAGAACAUAUGCCCCUUCAUACAAGGUACAAUUCUUUCACAUCUUUGUUCUCUUUUCUUCAUUUGCAUACAUUGAAGACAAUGUAUGAUUUAGGUAUGGGGGGAGUUUGUUUGUAUUAUAUUUUUUUUUCUUUUUACGAAAAAAAAUAAAAAUAAAAAUCUAAAAAAAAUUAAAAAAUUAAAAAUUUUGUUUGACUUUUUAUGAAUUGAAUUAAUUCUAAUAUGUGUUUGUGGAGCAAAACGCAUGAGUGAGAUUGAAAAAUUUAGAACUCUUGAAUUUUUGAUAAGAUACGAAAUCUUAGUUCAAAACAUCAUCUGAAUUUAAAAAUGAUUUCACAAGCAUUUUUGCACUUCACGUUUGCACUAAUUCUUAGUUGUGGGGUAUAAACCAUGAUUCGAGUAAUUUCUUUAAAAAAGAAAAAAAAGAAUAAUAAGAAGAAGAAAGAAUGAAAAAAAAAAUGAAGUGAGAAAAGUUGAAAAAAAAAGAAAUAAAUAACUGCUUCAAUGUCCAUUAAACGAAAUAACUGGGUGUCCAAGUCUCGAGAAGCAUCGAUAUUCACGCUGAAAAGUGUGAUGGAUAAAAGCAGCUUGACUAGUCUAAUUUUGUAGCCUUUGUUACUCGAGUUAGUAAAUCCUUAGGGGUGUCUCUACACCUAGUGCCCUAAAGCCAUCUGGUUUGGGAGUCAUUGGUCCAACGCUCGCUCUACAUGGGUAACUCUGAAAAGCCUAAGAAAAUGAGACAUUGCACAAGUCAAGAAUCAAAAUUGAAAAAAAANNNNNNNNNNNNNNNNNNNNNNNNNNNNNNNNNNNNNNNNNNNNNNNNNNNNNNNNNNNNNNNNNNNNNNNNNNNNNNNNNNNNNNNNNNNNNNNNNNNNUUGGGGUUUAAAGGCUUGUUGCACAUGCUAAGUGCAAUCGUGUUUCCUACGAAAAUGUGGUAGUGUAAUUUUUGUAUUAUUUUAUUUUUAUUUUACUCGAGGACGAGCAAAAGCUAGGUAUAGGGGUAUUUGAUAGACACGUAAUUCAUACAUUUAAUUAUCCCUAAUUUUGUCCUUUUAAUUAUAUUAGUUUAUUAAAUUAAUAUGUUUUAUUUUAUUUUGUAGGAUUUAAUAUUUUUUGCAAUAAAGUCAAAAUCUUGGUGAUCAAGCGAUAUUUAAUGCUCUUAUUCAUAUAAGGAAUAUCCAAGAAGAAUCCAACAAGGAGAAGGAAAGAGGUUCAACAAUCUUAGUGUGCAAGUCAAAUCCAACAAGAGAAAGGAAAGUCAAUCUAGAAGAUCUCUUUAUCUAGAAGAUCUUUUUGAUAAGUUGAUUGACACUAGGAAAUUAAAACUUACAUGGAAAGGGAACAAAAGUGUCCAAGUUCAAUGAAUCUAAAUUAGGGUUUAAAGUUUUUUUCUCUAUAAAUAGGUCUCUUGUUUUAGAGAGAAAGAUAUGAUGUAUUGUAUUACUUUAGAUUAGGAGUAGGAGUAAAUUAAAUUACGUUUCAUUGUACGCUUGUUGGAGGAUCAUGAAUAAAUGGAGUUAAUUUUCUUAUUUAUUUUCAAUCUUCUACUUCUUCUUUAUUUUAGUUAAUUUAUUUAUUUUCAUGUCUAGUUAAUUUUUUUUAAUCUAGGAUGAAGAUGAAAUUAAAUAAUUAUUCGUAAUAAUAUUUUUUAUCUCUUCUAUUAUUUAUGCUUUUGUGUUUAAUUGAUUUCGCCUUCAUAUUUCGUUAUUGAAAUACCUUUGUUUUAUUGUUGUUAUGUGAUUUUAAAUUAAUUAAGAGGUUUUGAUAGAUUACUGUUAAGAUAUGAGUUUUUCAUAAUCCAUGCUUGCUCAAAGAAGUGUUGAUGGGUUAUAGUUAAUCCUUAAAUUUUCAUAGUCUAUGUUUGCCCACAUUAAUUGUAAAUUACUAAAUUAAAGGGAAGAGAGAUCAAAAUUAUAAUUUGAGUUAUAAAAACAGAAGAGAUUGAAUUAUAUGUUAUGUUUGUUAUUUAGUGGAUUCAGAUUCCUAGAUUUUUUUCUCAUUAAUUAUUUUCAUAUUCUAGUUAAUUAAUUCUCAAUCUUUAUUUUUAAUUCGCCUAAAAUAAAUAUUAAGGAAACAUUAAAAUUAAUCUAAUCUCUGUGGGUUCGACAUGUACUUGUCAGUUCUUCAAUUUGACACUGUGCACUUUCAGUACAAAAUUUAUCACAUCAGACACCUAAAAGUAUAUAAGUUUAUAUUAAAUAUGUUACAAAGACUAAUUUAUUUUCAAAAUAGGGGUUCACUAAUUAAGAAAUAAAAAUACUCAAAUGAGCGGAAUGACCUCUCAAGUAUAUUGAGCAAUUUUAAUUGAGUGACGUAGAGUAUGUGGGUCGUUGGGUCUGCACAUGAAUGAUAUUUGCUCUUAUACCAUAUUGAAAUAUCCAACUCAAAAUCAAUUGAUAAUGAGUGCAGUAGCCUCUCAAAUUAUAUAUUAAGUCUCUAUUUCUUAGUUGUCCCAUGUGAGAUUUUAUAUAUAUACAGUUGCUGAAGGUCUUUAAAAAUUAGAAGAUGACUAAUCUAGCUGUCCAUAAUACUUUUGAUUUUUUUUUAUUUAUUUAAAGAUGGAGUGAGUAUAUUAUAUGGAUUAUUUGCAAUUUUCGGGUAAUAGGUACGAACUCCGAGUGGGUAAUCCAAGUCAAUUCUAGCUGACCUAAUACUUACCUAAUAUUACAACAAAAUUGCAUAUAAAAUCGACUAAGUCAACUUUGAAAUAUAUAUUUUUUUGAAUAACUUUGAAAUAAAAUUGAAUUAGACCAAUUAAUAGAUCAGAUAUUUGAUUAAUGGACAAUAUAUUUGCUAAGUUAGGGAGGUAAUAUAAAUUGACCGCUUAAUAUAUAGGGAUAACUGUGCAUGCCCAUAUAUAAUUGUAAUAGUUGUCCCAAAUCACUUGACAAAAAAAUAAAAUAUGCUACUAUAAUUUAUUUUUAUUUAAGUUGGAAUUAAGUAUCAGUACCUUGAUUGAUCAAGAACAGAUAUGACUGCAGUUGUUUGGGCAAGAGCAAAUUUCUUUGUAUUCUAUAAAUUUAAUUUAAACUCGUAAACUCUGUUUUACUCAAAUCAUGAUUAAGAUGAAUAAAUGCGAAGGAUGAAAAGUUGAUAAAAAUACACAGGCUAAAAAAUAUUUCUUUGCACCAAAUUAAAGGACUGUUUUGCUUCUUUUUCUUUUUCUUUAUUUGGUCAAAAUUAAGUGCCAAUUAAAAUAUCCAAAUUUUAAUGGUAAAGGUCUUCCAAAAAAGAGUCAGUCAUACUAAUCAAACAAAGUCUACUCGUUAAUCAUUCAUUAAAUUUUCGAUUACACUACAACUUUAUUACAAUGAAAAUCACCCAGUGAAGAAAAUCACCUACUCCCACUACCCUAAAACCAUAAAAAAAAAAUCUCAAAACAAGAUGUAUCAUCAAUGCAAAUAAGAAUAAAUAUCUACUCGAGUCUCGAGAUAUUUAUGGGAAAAUUCUUCAAGGCCCAUUUUGAAAUUUUCAGGCUAGAACUCCUUUGAAGAUACUGGGAUUCAUUUAUCCCAUCAUAUGCAGUAUUAGACUCUUCGGAUAGUGAGUUUAGGGUACGGUAGUGAUUGAUUAUAACUUUCGUCAUGUACUGAAUGAUUUGAAUGACUAUGCUCGGAGGGUGAAAAAAUUUGUUUUGCUAAUAGAGACUUUUCUUUAGGGCGUAUUUGAGACAAUAGUGAUUGAGAAAAACUUUGGUUAUGUACUAAAUGAUUUGAUUGACUAUACUCGCAGGAUGAAAAAUUUUGUUUUGCUAAUAGAGACUUUUCCUUGGGGCGUAUUUGAGAUAGUAAUGAUUCAGAAGAACUUUCGUUAUGUACUAAAUGAUUAGAUUGACUAUGUUUGUAGGGUGAAACAAUUUGCUUUGCUAAUAGAGACUUUUCCUCAAGACGUAUUUGAGAUAGUAUUGAUUGAGCAGAACUUUUGUUAUGUACUAGAUGAUUUGAUUGACUAUCGGAGGUUGAAAAAAUUUGCUUUGCUGAUAUAGACUUUUCCUUAGGACGUAUUUGAGACAGUAGUGAUUCAGAAGAAUUUUCGUCGGAGGGUGAAAAAAUUUGCUUUGCUAAUAGAGACUUUUCCUUGGGGCGUAUUUGAUACCGUAGUGACUGAGAAGAACUUUCGUUAUGUACUGGAUGAUUUGAUUGACUAUGCUCAGAGGGUGAAAAAAUUUGCUUUGCUGAUUGAGACUUUUCCUUGGGGCGUAUUUGAGACAGUAGCGAUUCAGAAGAACUUUCCUUAUGUAAUGGAUGAUUUGAUUGACUAUGCUCGGAGGUUGAAAAAAUUUGCUUUGCUAAUAGAGACUUUUCCUCGAGAUGUAUUUGAGACACUAUUGAUUGAGCAGAACUUUUAUAAUUAUGUACAAGAUGAUUUGAUUGAUUAUGCUCGGAGGGUAAAAAACUUUGCUUUGCUAAUAGAGACUUUUCCUUAGGGCGUAUUUGAGGCAUUAGUGAUUGAGAAAAACUUUCGUUAUUUGCUGGAUGAUUUGAUUGACUAUGCUCAGAGGAUGAAAAAAAUUGAUUUGCUAAUAGAGACUUUACCCAAUGACGUAUUUUAGACGGUGGUGAUCCGCGAGAACUUCGAAUUUGUGCCAAAGAAUUUGGUUGACUACGUUCGGAAUGUGGUAUAACUCCAAAUGCUGAAUUCUCCAUCAAUUUGGAUUGCGCUUUUCUAGACAACGGCUUCUGAGAAUUUGAUCAAACAAAAGAGUGCAAAAACUUAGCUUUUUUUUUAUUUUUUGCAAAAGGUUAAGAAUGAUAUAUUGCUAAAAAUUUAUUCCAUAAUCUACAUGAUAGUGAAAUAAUGUUAACUAAACUAAAUUAAUUCUAAAAUAUUCGUGAAUUAAUUUAAAUACAUGAAUAUGUAAU
rnacentral:lncRNA from 1 species